GUCUCAGUGAAGAGCUCUAGACCAUAGGAAGUGUCGUAUGACACUGUACAACAGCUCUUCUCUGCAGCUGCAAGUGUCCAUCCUUACAUGAUAGCCUCUGUGGUUUGGUCUUGGAUGGAAAUACCCAUUUGCACAUGCUUGUUCAGCCGUGUGGUUGAUUUUAAACGGGUCUCUGAGUGGU
rfam:Triticum aestivum genome assembly, contig: Triticum_aestivum_CS42_TGACv1_scaffold_603150_7DL